UCCGCCUUAGCUCAGUUGGUAGAGCGCUUGACUGUUAAUCAGGAUGUCGUCAGUUCGAGUCUGACAGGCGGA
rnacentral:ncRNA from 15 species